rnacentral:rRNA from 1 species
UACGAAGGGGGCUAGGCGUUGUUCGGAAUUACUGGGCGUAAAGCGGUGCGCAGGCGGCUUCUCAAGUCAGGGGUGAAAGCCCAGAGCGUCAACUCUCGGAAUUGCCUUUGAGACUGAGUGGCUUGAGUACGGAGAGAGGUGAGUGGAAGUUCCCAGUGUAGAGGUGAAAUUCGGUAGAUAUUGGGAAGGAACACCGGGUGGCGAAGGCGGCUCACUGGCUCGUAACUGACGCUCAUGGCAACGACAGCGUGGGGAUCAAACAGG